GGUCUACCACCGGGAUGUUCAUAACCCUUUGUUGUCCGACUCUGUUGCCUCCGGGGCGACCCUGCCUUCGGGCGGGGGCUCCGGGUGGACACUUCAAACUCUUGCGUAACUUUGCAGUCUGAGUAAACUUAAUUAAUAAAUUAAAACUUUUAACAACGGAUCUCUUGGUUCUGGCAUCGAUGAAGAACGCAGCGAAAUGCGAUAAGUAAUGUGAAUUGCAGAAUUCAGUGAAUCAUCGAAUCUUUGAACGCACAUUGCGCCCCCUGGUAUUCCGGGGGGCAUGCCUGUUCGAGCGUCAUUUCACCACUCAAGCCUCGCUUGGUAUUGGGCAUCGCGGUCCGCCGCGUGCCUCAAAUCGACCGGCUGGGUCUUCUGUCCCCUAAGCGUUGUGGAAACUAUUCGCUAAAGGGUGUUCGGGAGGCUACGCCGUAAAACAACCCCAUUUCUAAGGUUGACCUCGGAUCAGGUAGGGAUACCCGCUGAACUUAAGCAUAUCAAUAAGCGGAGGA
rnacentral:rRNA from 1 species